UUUAAAGUCUGACCUGCCCAAUGAGGAUUUGAAUGGCCGCGGUAAUUUGACCGUGCAAAGGUAGCAUAAUCAUUAGUUUUUUAAUUGAAAGCUGGAAUGAACGGUUGGACGAGAAAGUAACUGUCUCAAUUUAAUUGAAUAUAGAAUUUUAUUUAUAAGUAAAAAAGCUUAUAUAAUUUUAAAAGACGAGAAGACCCUAUAGAGUUUUAUAGUUUAAAUUAUUAUUUAAUUUUAGUAUAUUUAUAUAUUUAAUAAUUUAAACUAUUUUGCUGGGGCAGCAGAAAAAUUGAUUAAACUUUUUUUAUUUAAAAACAUUAAUUUAUGAUUGAAUGAUCCAUUUUUAAUGAUUACAAGAUUAAAUUACCUUAGGGAUAACAGCGUAAUUUUUUUUUAGAGUUCUUAUCGAAAAAAAAGUUUGCGACCUCGAUGUUGGAUUAAAAUUAACUUUUGGUGUAGGGGCUAAAAGGUUAGGUCUGUUCGACCUUUAAAAUUUUACAUGAUCUGAGUUUAAACCGGCGUGAGCCAGGUUGGUUUCUAUCUUUAAAAAACAUAGGUAUUUUAGUACGAAAGGAUCAGAUACCUUUAAAAUUUAAUAUAAUUUGAAUAUGAAUA
rnacentral:rRNA from 1 species